rnacentral:lncRNA from 1 species
CAUUUAUCAUUGCAUACUAUAUAUAAUCUUUAUACAUGAGGAAAUAGAGAUUAAGAAGAGGCUUGCCCAACAUAACAAAAUGAUGUCAGUGGUAUAAUCAGAACCCAAGUCUAGCACCAUACUGCUUCUAGCUGUAUGAUCUCAGACAUCUCAUCUCCCCUGCCCGAGCCUCUAUUUCCUUACCAACAAAAUUAAAAAAAAAAACGAACAGCAAUUAAUUAAAACUGGGUGGGCUCCAAAGUUCUCUCUUAUUUUAUAGUCUUCUCAGUUUCCAGGAAGAUGUAACAAUCCUUAAUUGCUUAAUAAACAUCAGAGGUGGAAAUAGCCAUUACUCACACCUGCCACAGCCAAAUGGCAGACCAGGCUACAUUUCUUUUCCUCUUCCAGUUCUCAGGAUCAUCUCAAAGGAGUUGACACCAGGGAAAAAGAGAGUGGCGUAGGGGUGGGCUGUCUCAUUUAUGUACCUACUCAAUUCCAGCUCAGCAGUCUUUGAGCCAUGGACUGUAGCUACACAGCCAAUUAGAAGACUUCAUCAUUACAGAACAAGGCUCUGAGUCAUGUAUUUGCUCAGACUGAAAUCAGAUUGGUUGUGGAGAUGCAAACUGGAAUCUGAAUGCCUGCAGUCCUGGAUGAAAAAACUGAGGUCCAGAGAGAUGAAGUUAUUGGCUGAGCCAGGACUAGUAUCCACGGUCUCUGGAUUACCUACUAAAACAUGGUGCUCAUAGUCCCAAACCUCACAAGGAGUAAGAGCUGAACCAGGAUCUUCCAUACUUCUCUACUCCCCCAUGCCAAUGGUGGCCACACAGCUUGAAUAAGCAGGGAGUCACCAACUGUAAUCCUUCCAACAAGAUGAAGCAUCAUCAGACCUGCCUUGACAUUCUAUCUUCCAGAUGAUGGCUGU